UUUUAGAAACGAUGGUGGCCUUAAAGGUAGAUGUUCAACUAUUGUUUCUGCAUCUGGUUCAUCUGGAAGGGUCAAUAUCUGCAAUUAUGGAAAGAAUUCCAAGCAAGUGACAACGUUCGGUUUGGCAUGCUCCAUGGAGAAAUAGUAGGGCUACAUUAAGAUAUAUCAAGGUUGGAGACCAAAGUUGAGAGGCUAAAGUCGGUAGUACAAGUUAAAGAUAGGGAGAUUGCAACAGUUACACGAAUAGAAGCCAAAGGUAAGGCUGCUUUUAAAGCUCAAAUUGACAAGCUACAGUAGGAAAAUGUUGAACUCCAGAGAAGGGUUAUUGGCAAUCAGCAAGUAAGAACUCAACAAAUACAUGAGAUGAAGAAGAAAGAAAAGGAGUACAUCAAAUUGCAGCUGAGAUAGGAGCUUUUGUAUGUCUAAACCAAGUCUUAAGGGAGAAAAAGAAAGAAUUCCUACCAAACCCUUCCACCAAGACCAUAGAAUUCCCUUGAAGAGGCAGAAUACAUAAUCAUCAGUCUAAAGCUUACAGUACUCAAGAGACAAAAGAGUUGAAUUGAAAUGUUCAUCAUGUUUGAAAUGCCAACAAAGUUAAAUGGUAGAUGAGAUGUGUUGAAUUCGUGAUUGACUCAAAGCUACAUUAAGAUAUAUCAAGGUUGGAGACCAAAGUUGAGAGGCUAAAGUCGGUAGUACAAGUUAAAGAUAGGGAGAUUGCAACAGUUACACGAAUAGAAGCCAAAGGUAAGGCUGCUUUUAAAGCUCAAAUUGACAAGCUACAGUAGGAAAAUGUUGAACUCCAGAGAAGGGUUAUUGGCAAUCAGCAAGUAGGAACUCAACAAAUACAUGAGGUGAAGAAGAAAGAAAAGGAGUACAUCAAAUUGUGUGUGAGAUACCUUUUAGUUAUUUUUCGGUUCUAGGCUCAAGUUGGAUUCAGGUUAGAUAGGAGUUUUUGUAUGUCUAAACCAAGUCAAGUCUUAAUGGAGAAAAAGAAAGAAUCUAUAUCAGGAACGGAGAUAAUGAAUUUGCUACAAGUAUAUUUUAGUUAUUUAUCAAUAUUUUACCCAUAAUGGAUCAUUCCUUUCAUUUACUGGCUUUUGUAAUGUAUGAUAUGAACAGAAAGAAGGGUGACGACGUGGAACUUGGAAUGGCAAGAAAACUGAUAACGAUUUCUAUAAAAGGAUAGUGGAUGCUUAUGAAGUUAAAAAUCAAGAAUUGACGUCAGAGAAUGCUGAUUUAAAGACAUUGACCAGUAAAUGCAGGUUUGCAACAAUUUUGUUAUUGUCUGUGUUUUAAGUUUACUAAAUUUUUAUCAAAUAAAUUUUGGAAGGGGUGGUGAGCAUGCAAUAAAACAAGUUUGUAGAAUGCAUCUAUUCCGUCUUAUUAAUUUUGUGAUAUUGAGGUUUUUUGCCAUUCUUUUAUUGAAUUAUUUUUGUGAAUUUUAAUUCUUGAAGUUCAUUGUUUUAUUGGUUUAUUUGAUAGACAAAAAAACCCCCUAAAUUUGUAUCAGAUAUGGUUUUAGUAA